UAGGGAAUCUUCCGCAAUGGGCGAAAGCCUGACGGAGCAACGCCGCGUGAGUGAUGAAGGUCUUCGGAUCGUAAAACUCUGUUAUUAGGGAAGAACAAAUGUGUAAGUAACUAUGCACGUCUUGACGGUACCUAAUCAGAAAGCCACGGCUAACUACGUGCCAGCAGCCGCGGUAAUACGUGGGUGGCAAGCGUUAUCCGGAAUUAUUGGGCGUAAAGCGCGCGUAGGCGGUUUUUUAAGUCUGAUGUGAAAGCCCUCGGCUCAACCGUGGAGGGUCAUUGGAAACUGGAAAACUUGAGUGCAGAAGAGGAAAGUGGAAUUCCAUGUGCAGCGGUGAAAUGCGCAGAGAUAUGGAGGAACACCAGUGGCGAAGGCGACUUUCUGGUCUGUAACUGACGCUGAUGUGCGAAAGCGUGGGGAUCAAACAGGAUUAGAUACCCUGGUAGUCCACGCCGUAAACGAUGAGUGCUAAGUGUUAGGGGGUUUCCGCCCCUUAGUGCUGCAGCUAACGCAUUAAGCACUCCGCCUGGGGAGUACGACCGCAAGGUUG
rnacentral:rRNA from 1 species